GGCUCCGCGCCUAUAUCAGUUAGAUGGGGGGGGUAAAAGCCCCCCAGGGAUAUGCGGGGGUAGCGUGCUCUGAGAGGACGAUCACCACACAUGGGGAAUGAGACACACGGUCAGACUCACUACGGGAGUGGCAGCAUGGGGAAUAUCAUUCACAAGGGGGAAGCCCGAUGCAGUGCGACGCCGCGUGGAGGAUGAAGGCCUUGGGUUGUAAACCUCUUUGUCAAGGGGGAACAAGAAAGUGAUAGUACCGCAAGAGGAAGAGCCGGCUAACUAUGUGCCAGCAGCCGCGGUAAUACAGAGGUCUCAAGCGUUGUUCGGAUUCAUUGGGCGUAAAGAGUGCGUAGGCGGCGAUUUAAGUCUGGUGUGAAAUUUCGGGGCUCAACCCCGGACCUGCAGUGGAUACGGGCAGACUAGAGGAUUGUAGGGGAGAGUGGAAUUCAUGGUGUAGCGGUGAAAUGCGCAGAUAUCAGGAGGAACACCAGUGGCGAAGGCGAGGUCUCUG
rnacentral:rRNA from 1 species